rnacentral:rRNA from 1 species
AUUGAACGCUGGCGGCAUGCUUUACACACGCAAGUCGAACGGUAACAGGCCGCAAGGUGCUGACGAGUGGCGAACGGGUGAGUAAUGCAUCGGAACGUGCCCAGUCGUGGGGGAUAACUAUCCGAAAGGAUAGCUAAUACCGCAUACGAUCUGCGGAUGAAAGCGGGGGACCUUCGGGCCUCGCGCGAUUGGAGCGGCCGAUGUCAGAUUAGGUAGUUGGUGGGGUAAAGGCUCACCAAGCCAACGAUCUGUAGCUGGUCUGAGAGGACGACCAGGCACACUGGGACUGAGGCACGGCCCAGACUCCUACGGGAGGCAGCAGUGGGGAAUCUUGGACAAUGGGCGCAAGCCUGAUCCAGCAAUGCCGCGUGCAGGAAGAAGGCCUUCGGGUUGUAAACUGCUUUUGUACGGAACGAAACGGCUCUGGUUAAUACCUGGGGCUAAUGACGGUACCGUAAGAAUAAGCACCGGCUAACUACGUGCCAGCCGCCGCCGUAA